UCACACCUUUCUGAUAUUCGUUUUCAGAUUGGCUGCUGUCGCUCAUAUUUCUUACGGAUUGAAGUGAAAUUGCUGGAGACAUUGGGAUGAGCAGCUUACUUCCUGUGACAUGCAAUCAGAAAAGGUGAAAAGAUAGGAGCGGAAAGCCCACAACUUGUAUCGAGCAAGUACGUACCUUUUAAAGAAUCUUUUUUCCUUAAACUUACAUUAACUUUCGACUAAUGAGACCAUGCAUAAAUCAGCUGAUUGUUUGACAACAUUUUUGUUUUGACAUUGUCAGAAUAUUUGGGAAUGGUAUCUGCAAGUUGCAAUUGUUUUGACUUCUGCUUAUUAAAUCAGACGACUUCUUUCAUAGGGGUUAACUUAAAUAUAUAUCAUUCUGCAUACUACUGUUUGCCAGUGACCAUAUUGAGCAAACUCACUAACCAAUAAGUAGUUUACUAAUUAAACUAUAUCAGUUAGUGACCUGUGAUCCUGAAGUAGUUGGUUAUCUUUGAGCUAUCGCAAGAGGCAUUUACAGAAUUAGAUAAUAGAAGUAUUGCAGAUUGGCUAGAAACAAAAAAAAAAAAAGUAGAGAUUUUUGCUCUUUAUUGAAUUUUUUUGGUUUGGUUUUAUGUUAUUUCAAAAAAUACUCGUGGAGAGAUAAGCCUUUCUUGUGUAAGCUUACCCAAUAUAUAUGCUCUUUUAACUAUGACAAAGUAGUGGCUCUAAGAAUGUGCAAUAAUGAGAUUUGGCUAAACUUGCAACUGACCUGUAUUGUAUAUUUAUGUGGGGACAUGAGUUUGGAAGUAGUACUAUUCAUUGUCCUAUUGCAGACAUUGGUCCAUCUAAAAAACUACUGCAUAUAAUAAAAAAUUUAGCAGACAUUGGUCCAUCUUGCUUUGAGUUCUGGCUGCACCUUUUUUUUUCCUAUCAACUUUUUUUUAUAUAUAAUUGACAUGAAUAACUUUAAUUUUCACCCAUGCUCUCAAAUUAAUUCCAACUUCUUGUUAGUUAGGGAUAAUCCAAAAGUUUUGAGUACCUUUUCAAAAUGAUCCAAGUUUUUUUUUCCUGUUAUUUUUUGAGCCUUUUUUGUUGGGUCUAUAAAUAAAGUUGUGAUUAUGUCGAGAAGGUCUCUCUGAAAGUUGGGAUUAUAUUGAAAUAAUUUAAAGUUAGGGUUAUUCUGAGAAGCUUAGUAAAAGCUUGAGACUAUUCAUGUCAAAUUAUUUUUUGUUUUGGUUUAUGUUGGAAUUUUUUGGUUCACUGUUGCUAGUACUUCUUCCUUUUCUUUUUGAUUGUUAUUGAUCUUCUAAAUUCUUCUCAAUAUAUAAGAAAAACUAUUGUCAUGCGGGUUUUGUUUGAUACGUUUCAAUAAGUACUUUGUUAUCAAUCGUUAAAAUUUUAUUAAUAUGAAAUGAAAGAUAUUCAAGGUUCAAAAAGUGCAUUGGCAAACGCAAAUAGUCAAAACACAAAACAGGAAGAACAAAAAGAAACGGAGGGAGUAUUUCUUUUUCUACCUGAUGUAGGUAAUUCUGAUGCAUAGUACUUCUGUCAGUUGCUGUAGCUCACAUAGCUUUGGAUGUAUGAAGGAUAUAAAUGGAAAGUUGAAAAAAGGUGCAGUUAUUUAUAAAAAGUAAUUCUCCAUUUAAGACCAGUUGACCUGAUUCUUUGUAUUUGAAAAUGUCAAGAUCUGAGCUUAGCAUCUUCCUGUGUCAACACGGGUAUUCUUCUAGAGGAACAAAAUGCCGUACAUUUCUGCCUUUCAUUUUAAGUCGUGGGACUGGCAGCAGAGUAUUUUUAUUUUUGAAUUGGGUAAAUGGAUUGCUUAUCUGUUCUAACACAUAAUUGUGAUACUAUCAGUUCAAAAUCAUACCAUCGAUGUAAUUAUUAAUUUCACACUAUUGUAUUAUAUAUUUUUAUAAAUUAUUAUUCUUAAAUUAUAAUGUUAAUAAUUUAUCAUAUCAAGACGUACAUUUAUAGACAUUUUCUAAAACUUAUAUCCCGUCUUGUACAUCCUCUUUCUUUUUUCUUUUUUGCGAAAUAAAUAGUAUCUUAUUUCCAGCAAUAAUAUUAUGAUGGACUCUCCUAUUAUCUGAACUAAUAUCAUUUUUUUUCUCAUAUUUUAUUACUUAAUUGUUUCCCUCAUAAUCAUCUUUUCAAUAAUAUCCAAAUUGAAAACUAUGUAAAUGAACUUUUAUAUUAUUCUUCUGUUAUUGAUUUUUUCCCUCAGUAGCUUCAUUUCGUCAAUCGUCUGUUACAUAAUUGCCAUUCAAUAACGGAUUUUGGAUAUUGCCAUUCCGUGAAAUCCCGUUACGGAACACUAUAAUAAAAUUCUCAUACUUCUCUUGUCCGUUCCAUAACGCAAACUCGCCGCAUCGGAACGUUUUUAUCUCCAUUACAUCCGUUCUUUUCAAACAUUGACCAAAGUUAUUAUAUAAAUCAUUAUAUAUAUAGCUUAUGAAACAUGAUAUUGUGAUAGAUUUGAUUAUAUUAUGUUGUUAUAAUGCUUUAUAAACUAAAACAUUGCAAAUAUAGUUAUAACAUAUGAAUGUGAAUUUUUUAAAAGAAUUCAUGCCGCGUCAGCCAGGAUUCUUUCCAUUCAUCUGUUACAAGCCGCUUUUGCGACAACGCAAAUGUUAUCGCGACUGCGUCCACGAUUUUUUCCUUGGUUCUAUGUCUCUUGUGACAGUUGCUAACCCUAAUAAGACGUUUUGCUUUCAUGCAUGUGGCAGAGACGAGUUCAUUAUCUAUAGAGAUAUGACUCAUGAGUACAUAUACAUUCUGAGAAUUUUUUUGUGGCAUAGAAUUGCUGGUAACUGCAUUUUAGGGAAUGCAUGUUGCAUGAUAAAAUGGUGAAUUAUAUUACUGGUGAUACUCCCGAAUAAUAAUAGAAUGAGUGAAUUAGAAGAGGCUUAUGAAUCUUGGAGUUCCGAUGAUUUUGUGGAUUCAAAUUUCUAGAUGACAUGAGAGAUCAGUAUUGAAACUAUAAGUUGUAAAUAAGUGAUAAGUAGGCUAUAUCCUCCAAAGCGUGGAUGGUGGAGUAGAGACCACCUUCCUCUACGUGGUCCUGCUCCAAAACGCAUAGCUUGAAAAUGCAAUCUUGAAGAAAAGGAAAUAAUUUUUUUUAAAAAAAGAAUUACGGCAAAUCAAUCCCACUAGAUGAUAACAUCACAUUAAACUUUUUUUUUUUUAAAAAACAAACUUUUAUUAUUUAUUAAUUUUUGUUUUGGCAAACAUUGAUAACUUUUCAAGAAUUGCGACAAAUCACUCCCACGAGAUGAUAAAAAGUACUUCCUCCGUUCCGUUUUAAAUGAAACGUUUGCUUUUUCACGCAACCCAACGCGCUUCUUUAGUCAUUAAUAUCUUUAGUUGUGUAAACGUAAAAAAUAUAAAAAAGUUAUAAUUUGAUAGUAUACAUCGAGACGAAUCUAACAAGAUCCCACUUGACUAUGUUUUUCUUUAUAUAAUAGCGAUAAAUUGGAGUUAAAAUUGAUUAGUGAAUAGUGUCAUUUCAUCCAAUGUUUCAUUUAAAACAGAACGGAGGAAAUAUGUAUUUUUUAUGUCCUUAUUCAUUAUUGUUAUUUUUACAGAUUUGUGCUUCUCAACUAUUAUGUGUACGUGUUCUUUUAUAAUCAAUAUGUUGUUCAUUAUUGUAUUAUAUCAUGUUCUUUUAUAAUCAGAAUGAUGUUCUUUGUUUUAGAACUUCAUGUUCUUUUUAAAUUUUAAUUCGUUGUUAUGACUAUUUUCAUAAUUUUUUGCUUCUCAAGUCAUAUACGCAUAUGUUCUUCUAUAAUCAAUAUGGUGUUUUGUAUUUGAUAUGUUCAUGUUCUUUUUUUAGAAACGGGAAAUCUAUCAAAAAAAAUGGAGGUGGUAUAAAUUAGCCUUUCCUCUAGAAUAAUUUUUCUAAUGGAAAAUAUGUUUUUUUUUCUCUUUACCAUUCUUGGCUCUUGGACUCUAUAUAUCUUUAUCAUUUGAAAAGUAGUAGAUAAUCCUUAUGGAAAAUAUCUUCCUUAUGUGAGCAAAUAUCAGGUAGUUACCCGUUGCCGCAAUUCGUGUGAGAUAAACUUGGUUACUAUUGCAAAUUAUGUGGAGUAAAAUUCAUGUUUUUUAUUUAAUUAUUUGAGGUGAGACAAACUUAACAACAAACCGCACAAAAUCACCUACAUAUUUGCGUAUAUCCUCAUUUUUGUUUCAUUUAUUUGAAAUCCUCUUAAGUUUGUUUUAUUUAUUUGACGCCAAGUAAAAAUCUUUAUGAAAGUAAUAUGGAUAACAAGAAAGAGGAAUGAGUUUUUAUAUAUGCUAUAAUAUGCUUUAAGAAAAGCUCUCAGUCUUAGGCAUUUUUAUCAGAUAUGGAAUUCUUCUUCUGUGAGUUGUGACUUGCAGGUAGCGUCACAGGUCGCGAGACGCGACCACCAUCGCGGUUCGCGAGCUGGAGUCAUCGCGAGGGGCGAGGGGUGAUUUCCUGCGUGUUGUGGCAGAAUCAUCGUCGCGGGGUGCUCGCGAGUCGCGACACUGAUCGCGUGUCGCGAGCUCGGCUCUGUUUUUUCCACGAAGCGCGAGGGCGAUUUAUUCACUCGGUUUAUUCGACGACUUAGGGCUUGUAUUCUAGACUUCAUAUAAAUAUGUUACUUCAUAUUUAGGGCUGGAUAACCACAAAAUAUAAGAGAGAGAUUAGCUUAAACACAAUAGAGCAGAUUAAAGAGAGUCUUUGAGAUUCAAUUAUAUUCAAUUGAAUCUUGCCUAUUGUAAUUUGUAAUCGUCUCGUUCAUAGUGAAAGAAUCUUUUUUCCCUGCCUUGAGGACGUAGCUAUCGCAUUGAUAGUGAACCUCAUUAAAUCUAUGUGUUCUUUAUUCG